UUGGCGGACGGGUGGAGUAACGCGUGGAAAACCUGCCGUAUACUGGGGGAUAACACUUAGAAAUAGGUGCUAAUACCGCAUAAGCGCACAGCUUCGCAUGAAGCGGUGUGAAAAACUCUGGUGGUAUACGAUGGUUCCGCGUCUGAUUAGCUAGUUGGUGGGGGUAAUGGCCUACCAAGGCAACGAUCAGUAGCCGGCCUGAGAGGGUGAACGGCCACAUUGGGACUGAGACACGGCCCAAACUCCUACGGAAGGCAGCAG
rnacentral:rRNA from 1 species